rnacentral:rRNA from 1 species
UACGUAGGAGACGAGCGUUGUCCGGAAUCAUUGGGCGUAAAGCGCGCGUAGGUGGCCCUGUAAGUCCGUUGUGAAAGUCAAAGGCUCAACCUUUGAAAGCCGAUGGAUACUGCAGGGCUAGAGUACGGAAGAGGCGAGUGGAAUUCCUGGUGUAGCGGUGGAAUGCGCAGAUAUCAGGAGGAACACCAAUAGCGAAGGCAGCUCGCUGGGACGUUACUGACACUGAGGCGCGAAAGCGUGGGGAGCGAACAGG